rnacentral:rRNA from 1 species
AUUGAACGCUGGCGGCAGGCUUAACACAUGCAAGUCGAGCGGAGACGAGGUGCUUGCACCUUAUCUUAGCGGCGGACGGGUGAGUAAUACUUAGGAAUCUGCCUAUUAGUGGGGGACAACAUUCCGAAAGGAAUGCUAAUACCGCAUACGUCCUACGGGAGAAAGCAAGGGACCUUCGGGCCUUGCGCUAAUAGAUGAGCCUAAGUCGGAUUAGCUAGUUGGUGGGGUAAAGGCCUACCAAGGCGACGAUCUGUAGCGGGUCUGAGAGGAUGAUCUGCCACACUGGGACUGAGACACGGCCCAGACUCCUACGGGAGGCAGCAGUGGGGAAUAUUGGACAAUGGGCGGAAGCCUGAUCCAGCCAUGCCGCGUGUGUGAAGAAGGCCUUUUGGUUGUAAAGCACUUUAAGCGAGGAGGAGGCUACUUAGAUUAAUACUCUAGGAUAGUGGACGUUACUCGCAGAAUAAGCACCGGCUAACUCUGUGCCAGCAGCCGCCGUAACAC